rnacentral:sRNA from 1 species
GGGUUACUCCUUUGCGCUUUCAGCGCUCAAUUUGAUAAAGAUUCGCACCUCUAUCAAACCGGGUAACCCCACCUUUGGCAAGGCCUACUGUCAGAUUAAAUCUGAACUACUACAAAUGAACAGAUACUUAGUCCAGCUCGACUUCAUCUCCUUUAUAAAAUUCAACUCGUUGUCGUUCUGUUGCGCCAAUACGCUGUUU